GGUCUCACUAUGUUACCCAGGCUGGUCUUGAACUCCUGGGCUCAAGCAAUACUCCCCCUCCCAAAGUGCUGGGGUUACAGGCAUGAGCUACCCACCGCACUCAGCUCUUUGUAGGGAUUUAUCAUAAAUUUUUUUUCCAUAGAAUUUGGGGCUUCUCAAAUUUUUCUUUAAUACUCGUUUGUUCCUUCUACUUACUUUGGGUUUAUUUUUCUCUGCUUUUUCUAGCUUAAGGUGGAAACCUGUAUCACUGAUUUUCUCCUUUCUUCUGAUAGAAGCAUUUACAAUUCUAAGUUUCCCUCUAAGCACUGCUUUUAGCUGAAUCCUACACAUUUUGUUUUCAUUAUCAUUUAGUUCAAAGUAUUUUUUUUCUUUUUUUCCCUUGAUUUAUGAGUUGCUGUGUGUGUGUAAGAGACAAGGUCACCCUCUGUUGUUCAGGCUGGAGUGCAGUGGUGCCAUCAUAGCUCACUGCAGCCUCAAACUCCUGGGCUCAAGCAAUCCUGCUCCCUCAGCCUCCUGACUUGCUGGGACUACAGUUGGACUUGAUUCCACCGCAGGCUCUGGCUCCAGAGGAAGAGAUGGGGGCUUUGUGAACUGGGAUGUUCCUCCAGCACCUAGUAACAAAAUAAAAACUUGAAUCCUCAUGUUCCACAAUUUCAGAAGAAAUCAUUCUUUUUUGCUGUUAGAGUUCAAGAGGAAACCCCAUAUUUUCUGGAACCAGUGGGACUGACCCAUUAGCUAUAAGGGAAGACUAUAACUGAGAAAUAAAGCAACAGUCAAGUUUGCCUUCAA